UCACACAGCAGCGCCGGCAUUUCACUGUUCAACUUGUACUUGUUUGCUGAGCGCGCGCCUUGUGCACAUGCGGCAACGUCGUUUCAGUGCCCGGGUCUCUGGAGCCGCCUCGUCUGCCGCUGUCGCCCGAGAUUCUGCAGUAAAGAGCCACUCGAGAUACUGGCGACGAUGGCGCGGCUUUGGGAUCGCAUCGGGCUGCUUCGUUCUAUGCGUAGUGCUCUACGUGUGCCUGGGUAACUCGAUCAUGUUUCAAUCGAGUGGGCAGCAGCUGCAGCGUCGCAGGCCGGGGAAGUACCCUGUACUGGCUGAGCGUGAUGUCGUGGCGCUGGAGGUGGCCACCUCGCAGGUGGCGAACCUGGCAACGUUGCCAACCCUGAACGACUUGGUCAAGUCAGCAGCUGAGCUGGGAGCGGUGUACGCGCAAGUGCUCGAACAGGUGGUUGCUGCGCAGGAGGUAGAGGACGGCGGGCGUGUGCUUCGCGAGCUGGGCGUUAGUCAAAACCACCUUUCUAGUGGCUGCUCCUCCCUGCGACGUGCUGCCGAUGUGUGCUACGCGAAGCUCAAAGCCAUGCUGCUGCAGGAAGCGCAUGCGGAGCUACAUAUGGCUCCGACCUCACUCGUGCGCACCACUUACGGCUGGAUGCUGGGAAACAUCUACCUUUACAGCGCAGUGUUGCCUGAAUACUACCUCCUUCGGGACGAUAGCACUAGCCACGCCCUGGUGCUCCUGCGCAGCAUCAACGUGCUCUCCUGGAGCCCACGCGUGCACACGGUGCCGUCGUCGGAGAUGCGCGAGCCCCGCGCAGCGGUGGCGACCUAUGACUUGUUCAACUGGUCUGGGGGAGCGGCGUGCAGACGAGGGCUUCUGAGUCACGUGCCGCACGCGAAGCGAUUUUGUGAAUCGUCCUUCUCCUCCUGGUCCGCCGUAGCGCGCCGCGUCGCAGCCACGUACGAGGAGCUCAUUGUUCUGCACCCCACCUACGCACCACUGCGCCUGCACUAUGCGAUUUCGUUUGCCUUUCUUGCGAUGGACACCGCAGCUGACGUGGCGGCCGGUGGCACACAGGCUCUUGAGGGCCACCCGGCAAAGGCGCUCAAAGUAAUCCGGAGCGACCGCUCAAAGCUUGAGCGAACGUACAGGCACGCCGACGCGGCCCACGGGCCCGUUUUGGCUCUCCUGGAGGCGUUUCUCACCCCAGUAGCGUUGCGCACCGCAGACCAGGAUGCUCAGCUCGUGGCGGCGCUCCGUGAGUGGGGGAGCUGUGCUGAGGCGCAGGCAGCGCUGCUGGAGGCUACCUCUUGGCCUGGAGGCGUCUUUCCUGGCGAGUACCGUGCGCCUCUUCUUCGAGACGCGCAGCUUUUGCACUUGCUGGCUAAGGCGCAGCUUCAUUUGGGCGAUGAUCAUGCAGCGCUGCAGACGUUGCGCUUGUGCUUGUGAUGGAUGAGCGAGAACGGCUUACUAUUUCACAUGCUAUCCAGCCAUGCGGGGGCUUUGCAACGCUCGGCUAGCAUUGCAGACGGAUCGGCCCCACGCGGCUUGCGACGACAGGGUAGUUUCGGACCAUUUCUCCAAGCCGCGUGCGUGCGCAUGUGGCCGGCCAGCGAGUGCAUUACCCCCCUCCCCCAGUGUGUGAUAGACAACGCGCAUCCACACGCAUCCGCACACUCAAAUACCCACAUCCACGAGCUUGCAUAGAAUGCCUUCACGGCACGCUGCAUCGAGUCGGCGAGAAAGGCAAAAGACCGCUGUGUCGCUUGUGCGCGCUGGGGGUGAUUUGAAGAGAUUGAAAGGAAAGGGCAGGCGGUGGUGGUGGGGAGCCCACCUCCAAGACCGGCUGGAUCGGUGACGACGUGGAUGGCACCGAGCCCAUCCACCAGGCUGCCGCCCUUCUUCUCUCAAACGACGACGCGAAUUGAGAAUUAGUG
rnacentral:misc_RNA from 1 species